CCUACGGGAGGCAGCAGUGAGGAAUAUUGGUCAAUGGACGAGAGUCUGAACCAGCCAAGUAGCGUGAAGGAUGACUGCCCUAUGGGUUGUAAACUUCUUUUAUAAAGGAAUAAAACGAGGCACGUGUGCCUUUUUGCAUGUACUUUAUGAAUAAGGAUCGGCUAACUCCGUGCCAGCAGCCGCGGUAAUACGGAGGAUCCGAGCGUUAUACGGAUUUAUUGGGUUUAAAGGGAGAGUAGAUGGUUUGUUAAGUCAGGUGUGAAAGUUUGCGGUUCAACCGUAAAAUUGCAAUUGAUACUGGCAGUCCUGAGUACAGUUGAGGUAGGCGGAAUUCGUGGUGUAACGGUUAAAGGCGUAGAUAUCACGAAGAACCCCGAUUGCGAAGGCAGCUUACUAAACUGUGACUGACAUUGAUGCUCGAAAGUGUGGGUAUCAAACAGGAUUAGAUACCCUAGUAGUC
rnacentral:rRNA from 1 species